rnacentral:rRNA from 1 species
UGGGGAAUUUUGGACAAUGGGGGAAACCCUGAUCCAGCCAUGCCGCGUGAGUGAAGAAGGCCUUCGGGUUGUAAAGCUCUUUCGGCUGGGAAGAAAUCGCACAGGCUAAUACUCUGUGUGGAUGACGGUACCAGCACAAGAAGCACCGGCUAACUACGUGCCAGCAGCCGCGGUAAUACGUAGGGUGCGAGCGUUAAUCGGAAUUACUGGGCGUAAAGCGUGCGCAGGCGGUUGUGCAAGACAGAUGUGAAAUCCCCGGGCUCAACCUGGGAACUGCAUUUGUGACUGCACGACUAGAGUACGGCAGAGGGGGGUAGAAUUCCACGUGUAGCAGUGAAAUGCGUAGAGAUGUGGAGGAAUACCGAUGGCGAAGGCAGCCCCCUGGGUCGAUACUGACGCUCAUGCACGAAAGCGUGGGGAGCAAACAGGAUUAGAUACCCUGGUA